GCUACUGGACCUGAUGGCCUCUCAUUCCUCUUCCUACAGGAAUUUUGGGAAAUCAUUAAACAUGAUGUAAUGGCAUUGUUUGAGGAUUUCCACUCUGGUAAUUUAGACAUUUAUAGGCUUAACUUUGCCAUGAUUUCUCUUAUUCCAAAAGAGGAAGAUGCCACCAGCAUGAAAAAGUUUAGGCCAAUUAGUGUGUUGAACUGCAUUUUUAAUGUCUUCACUAAAGUGCUAACUAAUAGACUUGCUAUCAUUAUGAAUUUCCUGACCUCUAAUAACCAGUCAGCUUUCAUCAAGGGGAGGUUCAUUCUGGAAAGUGUGGUGACUGCCCAUGAGGUCUUGCACUCCACUUACCACUCUGAUAGCCCAAGGCUGGUGCUUAAACUAGAUUAUGAGAAGGCCUUUGAUAAAGUUAAUUUAGACUUCUUGAUGGAAAUCCUUCAAAAAGGAACUUUGGUAAUGUAUGGAUCAAAUGGAUCCAUCAGAUCACUCAUAUGGGGUCAGUAG
rnacentral:rRNA from 1 species